UGGGGAAUCUUGGACAANGGGCGCAAGCCUGAUCCAGCCAUGCCGCGUGAGUGAUGAAGGCCUUAGGGUCGUAAAGCUMUUUCGCCAGAGAUGAUAAUGACAGUAUCUGGUAAAGAAACCCCGGCUAACUCCGUG
rnacentral:rRNA from 1 species